CUUGUCUGCCUAUGUCCUUAGACCAACACGGCUACAACCAACACCCCUUAAGGCAUUUUGGCAUUUCAAGCCACCCACUGGGGAAUCUCAAAAACCUCCAAGGCUUCUCACUGCCUAAGUACUUUUGAAAAUCCCACUGGGAUAACAUCAUACUUCCUUUCUACCAUCUCUUUCGAUCUUGAGGCCUUCAGGGAAAGGGCUGCCUGGUAUUUCCUUGUGGAAAGGUUUUGUCGGAAGUGCCCCAAACUCUCAAUUUCCAUUUGGAACUUUGUUUCGUUCCACAUUGGUUUGUUCCCCCGCUAGCCGGACCUUCCCCGGAAGAUGAAUGAAUUGGUCAGUUGAAACUCCCAGUUUCUAUAAAAUUAAAGACUUGAUUUUGAACUUAAGAAAUCAUGUGAUUGUAUAGAAUAGUAUGUAUGCAAAUGUGAUUGUGUUCAGAUAAUGAGAAGUGUAAGCUCUAAAAGGAAAAAGCCCAGUAGGCCAUCUCAAUGAAGUUGACCUCCCUGAAAUGUUGGUUCCCCUCCUCUUUUUGAAACUGAAUUUUUGUCCAGCUGACACAUUAAUGCAAAUUCUUUUUAAGAAAGCAAAAAAGAGCCUAUCAGGAAAGUUUCUAGAGGCUCAUGUGUUUGUAUAGUAUCUAGUAUGAAGGGUCUGCCAUUUUGGUUGGGGUGUUUAGGGUGCAUAUGCAUGUAUUAACUUUCUGACAGCUAAGCCAACUUAACUGUCAGAAAGUCGACUUAACUGUGGCACAAGAUAACUCACCUCUGAGAUGUAUUAUCUUGAGUCUCAUUAGUUAAGUUGACUUGACAUGGUGGCAGCCAUCCUAUGGCUAAGCAGCUGUAUGUGUGUAUGCUCCAACAUGGUUCAACUUAAGUUGAUUUAGUUAAGUCUCCUUAUUUUAAGUUGACUUAAUACAUGUGUACGCACCCUUAGAUGCUACUAUGAAAUCAAUACUUAAUAAUAAUGAGGUUAUUGCAAUAGAAAUCAUAAAUGAUUAUGGGUACAAAGUACAAAAUUAUAGCUGGGAACUGACAAAGCUAAUGGCUCUGGAAAGACAAGGCAAGACUUGCACACUCACUCUUUCUUUCUCUCUCUCUCAUUAUGUAGCCUGUUUGUUUGUGGCUUAAAGAUGGGCAUCUCAUUAAUAUUAAUUAAUCACAUCAGGUUUUUGGACCAGCAGGCAGGUUCUCUGCUUCUUCUGGUUUUGAGGGCAGUUGUGGUUCUUUAGGAAUGAUCCCUCUUAUCAAAGGGAAUGGAAAUGAAAGGAGCUGGUCUUAGUAAAGAAUUGAAUGACUUUUGUUCAGCUACUGCUCGGGGAAAGGGCAAGGCACUGGUAUCUGCAGGGCACUGCUGCAAGGAAGUGCACAGCCCUGGUGGCAUCCGCACAUGUGGCAGCCAACAUUUAAACACCUGUUCAUUAACGAAGCUGCGCUGUUAGCAAGCUGGCAUCAUUGGGGUCCCAUUGGGUAGGGCUGUUUGCAGACAGGCGGGACUCCAACAUAGUUCAUCCAGGACCCUGCUGUGUGGGAGCUCCCAUUGAUCGAACUCAGUUUUGGCCAUGCUGUUUGGUGGCGUGGAGCUGCCCCGCAUCACUUGGUCCAUUGGCAGCAUGCUGCAUGUUUAUUUGGUCUCCAGGCCCAAAGUCAAAGGGAGAGGCAGUUCUGACUCAGGUUGCUCCUUCCCUUCCUGUUGAUGUUCCCAGUGCUCCGCCUGGGCCAGGUAUUUGGUGCAAUUUUGAAUGGGCUGGUCUUCCUCGGUUGAGCCAAGCUGUUAGCAAACUGGGGGAAGUGGUGGAUGAGCCAGACUGGGUAUCAGUCUCGGGUGAACAGAGCAGGAGGAAGUGAUGGAUGAGCCAGACUGGGCAUUAUGGUGCUGUAUGGUGUCGGUGCAGCUCCUCACUGUACCCAGCCACCCUGAGAGCUGGGAUGUCCAGGUACCUGGAUACGAGCCACAUCACACCCUUUGUGCUGUUGGCUACCGAAACUGGCCUUGCCUGAAGCAUGCCAGUCUAAUGGGGUGUCAGGCUUGGGGGGGGUCAUUUGACCCAGAAAGUUACCUGCUCCAGUUAUUGGCCCAGCUUUACCUUGCUUGCUGGUCUCCUUGAUUAGCUAAUGAAUCUUAGUAGCUUCAUAUUGAGCUCGGGAUGGCACAGAUCACCAAUCAGUUCCUGCUCCAAGGGGUCUAAAUGGCAGAAAUAUGGGAGAGAACUUGGGGGGGGGCGUGGCUUGGUCAGGGUAUGGGGAAUGGGGUUCACUGAAGCCACAUGUGGGUUGUAUCUGAAGUGGGCAGGAUGGGGUUCAUUGCUGUGGACCCUGGGGAUGGCCAGCUCCCUGGACCUAUGCAAGCCAAGUCACCUGAGAGUGGGUAAGUCCAUGGAGCAGGGUGCUGGCCUGGGAUUCGGCUCCUGGCUAGCUAGCUCAGUAACUCGCAUCACAGAAUGGGGUUAAGAAUGGGGCUGUGAGACUUCUUGCUUCACAGGGAUGCAAAGAGGAUGAUGCCUUCACACACAGCCCAGCAGGACCAGUUCCUUCAGCCUCUCCUUGUCCCAGUUCAAGACUGGAGUAAUUACACUGGUGUGCAGGAGAGCAACCUCCUGUCCUCUGCUGGGUCUCCAGCCCUUCCUGCUCUCGCUGUGUUGUCUCUCUUUGGUGGAAGCACCACAAACGUGUCAGCACCUGGGGUGGGGGGGAGUUACACUGACCACUGCAGAGUUGGAGGGGAAGGUAAGGGGAGAGAAAGGAAAAUAGGAGAGGAGUCUUACCUGCCUGGGCUCUCCUCACUUGAGUGGAAGCUGCUACUGCUGCAAAGCCCACCGCGGGGAAGGGGCAUCACCCCACUUCCCCCACCAGAUACACUGCUGGGCACAGUGCUGAUAAGUCAAGUACUGUACCUGAUUUCAAUAGCCAGGCUGCUCAGAGCUGUGUGUGUUGCAGAAAGACUCCUUGCGGGGGUAGGCCCAAGUCAGUGCCUGGGGCUGGUGCCCCUCUCAUCCUGCCCCAGUUAUGCUCCUGCUCUUUGGUACUUAUGCCCCUCUGCUUUAGUGUCAUACCUAGUGUCCCCCAUUGUAUUCAUAGACAUUAGGGGCUGGAAGGGACCUCAUGAGUUCAUUCAGUGCUGUCACUUCCAUUGUGCAGAGGGAUGAAGGGACUUGGCUAAGGUCAUGCAGAAGAUCAGUGGCAGAGCAGGGACCCAACCCCAGGUCUGGCAAGCAACAAGCCAUCCCCCUCAUCUCUGCCCACCUAUCCAGAUAAUCACUCAACUUUCUGGUUGGGCACUCUCCCUCCUUUCUUUCCUGCCAGCAUGUCUGGCUUGUGACUCUGGCCUGAAGGGACUCAGCCUGGGUAUGAGUAUGAGUGUCUGUAUGAGUGUCCCUUCUCCUUUUCCUUACUGCUCACUGGCAGGGAAGUCUCAUCCCUUUCCUCGCUCACGUAAGUGAGUGGUGACAGAGCGUGGAAAAGGGCCUUUCUAUGAAAGAGCUUGGGAAACACCGUUCCAGCCUGAUUCCACGUCCCAUCUCCCCUCCAUUGCUCUCCUACCUUUCUAUUCACUCUUCCCCCUUUUUUCAUGUCUUUCUUCUCUCUCCCCUUCCUUUUACCAGCCCCUCUAGAUCUCUCUUUCCCUUCCUCUCACUUUCCCAUCCCACUUCCCCUUCUUUUUCAGACGUCCCGCAGCAGCUCAUGGCAAUUAGCUCCUUUUAAAAAAUAAAAGACGUCACCUGCAAAGAAUUUCUCAGGUGGUUGAAGAGGCAAGAUGGGACAUGUCUGCAGGAGGAUCUGGGCUCUGCACUCAGGAAGGUUUCCAGCCCCUUCCCUGGUCACGGCGUGCAUAAGGAUGCAUUGUGUUCCAGUGGGUACUGCAAGCGCUGAACAGCCAGCGGUUUGGAAGGUGGGAUGGUUACUUAGGAGCUGCAUACCUGCUUGCAGUGAAGCUAGAAUACGGCCUUUGUCUGGAACAGACACAAAACAACUGCUGGGAAUUUGCAGGUAGGUUUUCGCUUUUGAAAUGGGAAGGCUCUGCCAGUUCUGUGUCAAGGUGAGCGGCUGUAAACUGGGACAUGACUGCAGAGAUAAGCUGAGUCCCAGUGGAAGUGGUGGCCGUGAGUCUGAUGGAGUCUAAGGGUGAAAGGAGGGCAGGGAAAGGAGGAGAGAUUUUGGGUCAGGAAGGAAUUUUGUUCUUGCUGAAAUGUCCUAGUUGGACUGGAUUUAAAUAUCAAUGUUCAACUAUAAAGUUGUAUUCUUUCAGUUUCCAAAAAAAUAAAGAUUCCUGUUUCUAGAUUCAAUUGAUGGAUAUGGGCUUUCUUUUCUCUCCCCUCUCCACCCUUUCCCCGCUUUAUGAAUAGCAGUAGGUGUCUUUUCCAGUACAGGGGAGUUUGUAAAGUUGAGUAUGGGGUCAAAGUAUGUAUGGCCGAGGGGCCGGUGCUGCCCUUGGGUCCGGAGUUACCCACAGUGUGCACAUGAUACAUGCCAGACCAACCCCACGUGCCCGGCUCUGGCUGUGCCCCAUACGUGGCACCUACUCCGGCCAGCCCAAGACCUGCACGUGGUGCCCACUUCAGCUGGUCUGGGAUCCAUGCUGCACGUGGUGCCCACCCCAACCACUCCAGGGUGGACCAUGUAUACCAUGUGGGGCAUGUACCAGCCAGAGUGAGCACCACAUGCCGCGUGUGGCCCCACAUGUGUGCCAUAUGCAACAUAGUCCUGGACUGGCUGGGGCUGAUGCUGCAUGCAGCUCGGGUCCUGGCUGGCUGGAGUGGACGCUGUGUGCAUUGGAUCUAGUGUGGACCCAAUCCGGCCUCUGGGGCUGGCCCAGUGCCAUUCAUCCUACCCAAGGACAGACAGUUCUUUGGGCUCACAGGGAUGUUUUUGACACCCCUGAGUUAAAGGAAAUGGGGGAAACCGUGCACAAGACAAAAAGUCCAAAGGUAUCAGUCCUUCUGUGGCACUUGGCAGGGAAAAGAGGGCAAAAAAGAGGGAAAUGAGUUCACAGUUUUGAAAACAAGAAAUGCCCACAAUGCAGGAAUCUGCCUUUUAAAAUGUAGUUUUAAACGGAAACCUGUCAAAGACUUGAAUUCUUUGACAGUGGCUUUGGGAGCAUUUCAGAACUGGUCAAUUUUCAACCCUGCAAACUGGAACGGUCUUGCACAAUUGUUUCUCCCCUUCUCAACCAGCUCCGCUUGCAAUUCCUUCCUAUCUUCUGAACUGAGCCGGGUCUGAGUCGCUUGCAGUUGCCUUGUGCCUACUCUCUCCCUGUUGUACACCUCUACUGGGAGCCUUUUAUCCGACAAAGAACCUGAUUUUCCUGCUAUUGAGGCAGCUGUAACUUCAUUGUACCUGAUUCUCUUCUCUCUUUAACCUUGUGCCAUUAACAGGUGUUUGCAGGGAGUGCAAGGUUUUCAAUACCACCUACUUGCCCCCACCUCCUCCCUGGGGCUAUUUGCAUCACUUCCAUCACGGACCAGCUUGUAAAUGUUGCAAGAAGCUCCCGGUCUAACAGGUGGGGCUGUAUGAGCUAGGCAUUACUUGUUGGACAUGAUCUUCUGUGUAAAUAGAUGCUAUUGGAAGACUUGCACAGACCCUACUGGCCAGUGGCUUGGCUAUUAGGAAGGUCACGGAUGUGUGUCAUGUUGUAGGCAGACGAGGUUCUUUGGGUAGAUGUGAUAUCUUUUAUUAGAUGGAUUAAAUAGUUGGAAAAAUUGUUCUUUGCCAUGUUUUUAAGCAUGCGCUGGCUCCUGUGGGCAAUUAGCUUCUGGCCUCUUUGCUUUGGAAGCCUGCACUUAAGCUGGUGCCACCUGCUGUCCUAACUUGCCUCCCUGGGUGGCUCAUGUGAUACGUCGUGUCCCAGCUUUGCUCGGAGUAAAUGUGCUGCCCCUUGAGGGGUAAAGGGGGAAUGAAUCUUUGCUUUAUGACUUGAUGGGCUCUGCUGGGGAUGGCUGGGUGUGCACGCCAGCGCGCGUGUGCAUGUGUCAGGGUGAAUCCUAAUGAAAACUUUGAAAAGCAGCCUUUUAAUCCACUCUAAUUCUGAUGCAUAAUCUAAUUCUUCCGAGUUUUAACUCCUGGGGCUGAACUUGACAGCAGUGACUCACAGGCCCUCUGCAACCUCAGUGCAUCCAGGCCCUAGAGUGUAAUGUGAAAGGAGUGAAUACCAGCUCCGUGCCCUCACAGGACCUCAUGCUUUCCUUUGGACUCGCUGAUAAACCUUGUACUUCCCUUUGCUCAGGUGCCAAUAAUUAGCGUGAACUGCAGGGCAGAGGGGGACUGGAUCCACACACUGUAAGCGCCUGUUUUACCUAUUUUAUCCCCUUGUAAGCCUCCACAGGUGCAGAUGGAGGAAUGCUCUUGAUUAUCUUGGUGCACGCGCACUUAGUCCAGUGAACACAUUGAUCAUCAGGCUGCAGGGCUGCCAAUCAGACAUCGAAUCCGCCCCGUGCUUCUGCCCGUACCAGUGUUUUGACCCCGCGGUGAAUGCAGAGAAGAGGUUCUGCAUUUCAUUCUUCUUGCAAGUGUCAUGAUUGCAACAUCUGAAAUGAGUUUUCAGGCUGGGAAAAGAACAGGGCAAAGGUAUUCUGAGGCUUUCUUUCCCUUUGAACUACUCCCCUUUGCUUCAUUUUUCCCCUUACAUGGUAUCUGUGGGCCAGGAUUGCAGCUGACUUGAAUGCAUAGCUCUGCAAGGUCUAGACAAGGCAGUGUCUUUAAACUGGUAUUCCCCUAAUUGACAGGGACACUAAGCCUAGCAACAGCACAGAAAUAGCGUGGGCUGCGUGUCGAAGUGUGUAAUGUAAGUGUUGAAGUCCAAAUCAAGAGCUCUGAAUUGUAACCUCUGAUACAGAUGUUUUUGCAGCCAGCAUUUCCCUCUUUGUAAACAGAGAUCAUGUUUUGAGGUUGGCGAAUGGAUGGGUAGCAAAAUCUUCAGAACAAAUGAUUUAGUCGAUGAUUUUUUUAUCUGAUUUUUUUUCCAGUUGUGAACAGAUCAUAGUUUUCCCCCCUUGAUUCCUAUUUUUCCUGCUUUGCUGAAUAAUUUCUGCCAUCUGUUCUCACUCAGGAGUGUGCAGCUGGUAUUUGGACUGGAUACAGAGAUCACAUGGGCUUGUUUCUUUGCCCUUGUUGGAUGAGUUUAAGGCUGAUGGAAACAGCUGCAAUUCCAAAUUUGAAAUAGAAUAUGGUGCAAUUGCUUUGAAUCUGCCUCUGAGUAAAUUUGUAUAUCUAGGUGUUCAAUCUAUGCAUUUCCAUUAACUUCAAUAGAGUUACGCCAGCCUGUAUGAGCUAAGGAUUUUGCUUAUCUGCUGGAGUAGCCACAGGGCACAACCAUUUGGCUUAAAAGUUUCAACGAAUAGUCAUGGCCACCAGUCCUAGCACUGUUUAAGAGGUGAACCUGGAUUUUAGACGAUAUCCCGCCUCUCCCAUGUAUUUCCUGUUUUGUAAACCAUGUUAUCUCUCUGUGCCUGUUUUCUCUAAGAUCUGUAAUUAUAGCUGCCAAAGUUGGGCAAACACAGCCGAGUGCUCUGUUUUUUCCUCUUCCUGCCAUUGUAAGACUUGUAAUUUGGCUGAAGUCUCACUGCACACUUGUGUGUGUGUGUCCCACACGCUAAUCUGCAUUGAAAUGAAGUUUCAAUGACUACUUCUGCAGAGAUCGAAGAGAUUUAAAGGUGUAGUUACAGGAAAAGCAAAGUGUAAUCAGUCUGCAGAAGAGCAACUUCGGGGAGAAGCCAGCGUGCCCAGGAAGACUGGUUCCUGGCUGAAAUGCGUCCAAUACAUUAUUUAUUCCAUCCACAGGGGGACUUUUUACCAUCUUUAACUUACCCUGAGCCUGAUAAAGGACACGUGAGCCUGAAAGUUUGCAGAAAAAUAUGAUUCUUGUUGUUGCAAUUUCUCAGUUGGUCUAAUAAAAAAGGUUAUAGUCUCUGAA